rnacentral:rRNA from 1 species
CACGUAUGCGACCUGCCCCCCGCAGGGGGAUAACCGGGAGAAAUCCCGACUAAUACCGCGUAACGCCGCGGGGCUGCAUGGCCCCGCGGCCAAAGGAAGCGAUUCCGGCGGGGGAUGGGCAUGCGGCGCAUUAGCUAGUCGGCGGGGUAACGGCCCACCGAGGCGACGAUGCGUAGGGGUUCUGAGAGGAAGGUCCCCCACACUGGUACUGAGACACGGACCAGACUCCUACGGGAGGCAGCAGUGAGGAAUAUUGGUCAAUGGGCGGGAGCCUGAACCAGCCAAGUCGCGUGAGGGAAGACGGUCCUACGGAUUGUAAACCUCUUUUGCCGGGGAGCAACGGGGUCCUUGCGAGGGCCCAAUGAGAGUACCCGGAGAAAAAGCAUCGGCUAACUCCGUGCCAGCAGCCGCGGUAAUACGGAGGAUGCGAGCGUUAUCCGGAUUUAUUGGGUUUAAAGGGUGCGUAGGCGGGCUGUUAAGUCAGCGGUCAAAUGUCGGGGCUCAACCCCGGCCUGCCGUUGAAACUGGCGGCCUCGAGUGGGCGAGAAGUAUGCGGAAUGCGUGGUGUAGCGGUGAAAUGCAUAGAUAUCACGCAGAACUCCGAUUGCGAAGGCAGCAUACCGGCGCCCGACUGACGCUGAGGCACGAAAGCGUGGGUAUCGAACAGGAUUAGAUACCCUGGUAGUCCACGCAGUAAACGAUGAAUGCUAGCUGUC